UCUGUUUAUGUAUUUAGGCCUGUAAGAGAUUUUAAGGACCUGAACGAAGCUUGUGGCGUAAUCGAAUGAAACUUCAGGAAAGCACAUCAAACAUCUCAGUGCCCAGCAUGCUAAAUCACUGAGGAACAGAAAACGGGACGAUGUGGGUUUGUGAAUGCGACCCUCUGUUGUGGUGGUGUGCUGCAGGCAGAUGUCUGUCGUGUUGCGCCGUCCUCCUGUGUGGCCCGUCGGUACACAGAUACUGUGGAGAAACAGACACGCACAGAUGGCGAGGAGCGCGAGGAGAGUCCAUCAGCCGCUGCAGCAGUUUCAAGUUACAGUUUUCAACAAAUUCUGCCGAAGAUGAUUGAUUGCUGGAGUCCAUGUAAGAGCUCAAUCAGCCCAGCAGUGAGCGCAGUCGAGUCUGGACUUGUUGAUUAACCGGAGGGCCGGAGCUGCGGGGCGGUGGACGCAUUAUGUUGGAGUCGUGUGGAUUAAAGCUGAGCUGAUCUGAUAUGAGGCCGAUCCUACAGAUGGAAGAGAGCACUUUAUUGGCUUUAUCAUCACAAACCACCGGCUACACCGCAAUCAGAUCAAUCCGAUGUUCUCAUCCCUCCUCUACAGAGAUCCUACAGACCCGAGGAAAGGUUUAUUGCUCAGAGGAUGUGCUUCAUACGGUGAAGAGCAGCUCAGGUCAUUUGACCUUGGGAGAAUUUGAUGAGAAAUGUUUGAGUUCAUAUUGAGAUCUCUGACUUUUGAUUGCAGACUUGAUAGACAUUGUUGAGAUCUCUUGUGAACCUCUAGACAAGAAAUAUGUAAUCUUGUUCUCUUUUGCAUGAAAUGCAACUUCCAGUUUUCCACCAUUGACACCAUUUUGAGGAGGCUUUUUGAUUGGCAUGUGGAGGCCAGAGCGUCUUGUUGUUUCCCAAUGGUAAUGGCGAUAUUAUUGCUGUUAUUUCUUUUACAUCGAGUUUUGUAUUUUAUAAAAACCAUGCUGCCUCCCUCACUGGAAUGAAUAAAAUAUCCAUUGUCAUUGU